AGCGCCCAGUCUCGAGCAUCAGUGGAAUCAAUGGAAGCCUGAGACAACCCGUAGAUAGGCUGGCGUACUUUUACACAGAGAGAAUCGACGUACUUGUAUAUAGCAUGUAUUCGUCAGCAGGCGGUAUAUCCGAUGCAGCGUAUCGAAUAUGGGGUAAAGCUCCGCCAGCGCCCACCAGUCUGCUUAAAAGGGAGCUACUCCAUCAUGCAGUGAAACUGUUAGCUCGAGUGUGGUAGGCAGAGGAAUUCCGUGUAGCGGUGAAAUGCGUAGAUAUUCGGGAAGAACACCCAGUGGCGAGGCGUUCUGCUGGCCAUCGCUGACGCUCAUGACGAAAGGCCAGGGGAGCGAAAGGGAUUAGAUACCCUGUAGUCCUGGCCGUAAACGAUGAACACUAGGUGUCGGGGGAAUCGACCCUCCGGUGUCGUAGCCAACGCGUUAAGUGUUCCGCCUGGGGAGUACGCACGCAAGUGUGAAACUCAAAGGAAUUGACGGGGGCCCGCACAAGCGGUGGAGUAUGUGGUUUAAUUCGAUGCAACGCGAAGAACCUUACCAGGGUUUGACAUCCUGCGAAUCUCUUGGAAACUAGAGAGUGCCUUCGGGAGCGCAGUGACAGGUGGUGCACGGCUGUCGUCAGCUCGUGUCGUGAGAUGUUGGGUUAAGUCCCGCAACGAGCGCAACCCACGUCUUUAGUUGCCAGCAUUUAGUUGGGCACUCUAGAGAGACCGCCGGUGAUAAACCGGAGGAAGGUGUGGAUGACGUCAAGUCAUCAUGCCCCUUACAUCCUGGGCUACACACGUACUACAAUGCUACGGACAAAGGGCAGCAAGUUCGCGAGGACAAGCAAAUCCCAUAAACCGUGGCUCAGUUCAGAUCGUAGGCUGCAACUCGCCUACGUGAAGGAGGAAUCGCUAGUAAUCGCAGGUCAGCAUACUGCGGUGAAUACGUUCCCGGGCCUUGUACACACCGCCCGUCACACCAUGGAAGUUGGCCACGCCCGAAGCCGUUACUCCAACCCUUGUGGAGGAGGACGUCGAAGGUGGGGCUGAUGACUGGGGUGAAGUCGUAACAAGGUAGCCGUA
rnacentral:rRNA from 1 species